UGGCUGGGGGCUCGGGAAGGAGAUGGAUCGGGCAAGAGGAAGGCUUCGGGUAGAGCAGGGAGGUGGAGAUCGGCUCUACAGGUAAGGGUUAUGCUUCCUCUCUCUCCUUCUCUCUCUCUCUCUCUCUCUCUCUCGGAUUGAAGAAGAAAGGGGCAGAGGCUACGGGAGGUGUUCGGAUGGGUUUGCGUGAGAGCUGGAGUCGGGCAGAGGUAGGAGGAGGCGUCGGCUACGGGAAACAGAGGAAGAGGUUCGGUCGGCUAAGCAGAGAGGAGAAGUAUCGUGGGAGAGGGAGGAGAUCGCGUCGUGUGUGGAGCGAAGUCGGGUUUGCUGUGUGGAGCCGGACAGAGGAGAGGUAUCGAGAGUGAAAGAGUGGAGGUGCUGCGAUCGAGUGGGGAAGUAGGAGUGCGAAUGGGAGAAGAGCCGAGAGCAGCGAAUAAGGGGGCUUUGGGUCGGUAUUUAACGAAGUCUGGCGUCGUUCGAUCGAGGCGUGAGCUACAGGAUAUCCGGGAAAUGAUCGUGAAGCGGCGAGAUAUCCGGGAUCUUGGCAGAGCUGGCAGCGAUACGAGGUUUCCAGGAUUUCUUGCGGGAUUCGCGGGAUGAGCGGCCAGCAUCGUAUAACAGCUCUAAUAUAUACAACAGCGGGAGCGAGUAGAGUCAAGCGGACAAAGCAGCCUGACCGAACGCAGGCGCGGGCAUGGCUGGCGGGUUUGGUUUGCGUAUUUGAGUAAGGAAUCGCAUGCGGGAAUCAAAAGUUGCAACUCCUCAGGAGAGAAAUGUCCAUUUCACACGUUCUAGUGGAAUCAAACAAACGUGUUAGCAGUAUCCAUGAGAAAAAGCUGACUGGGAGGAAGAAGAAUGAGAAGAAAGGUAAGUUUGUGCAUUUUCCACAUUUUGUUGAAAAUUCUUUUGUAAUUUCAAACUAAGAAAGGGGGUUUAUGUUUAAAUUGAGCGCAAAGGAAGAAUUUUGGGAGAGAAAGAGGAAGAUUUUGUGUUGAAAA